rnacentral:rRNA from 1 species
AGUGGGGAAUAUUGGGCAAUGGGCGAAAGCCUGACCCAGCAACGCCGCGUGAAGGAAGAAGGUUUUCGGAUCGUAAACUUCUAUCCCGGGUGAAGAUAAUGACGGUAGCCCGGAAGGAAGCCCCGGCUAACUACGUGCCAGCAGCCGCGGUAAUACGUAGGGGGCAAGCGUUGUCCGGAAUGAUUGGGCGUAAAGGGCGCGUAGGCGGCCAACUAAGUCUGGAGUGAAAGUCCUUCUUUUAAGGAGGGAAUUGCUUUGGAAACUGGAUGGCUUGAGUGUAGGAGAGGUUAGUGGAAUUCCCGGUGUAGCGGUGAAAUGCGUAGAGAUCGGGAGGAACACCAGUGGCGAAGGCGACUAACUGGACUAUGACUGACGCUGAGGCGCGAAAGUGUGGGGAGCAAACAGGAUUAGAUACCCUGGUAGUCCACACUGUAAACGAUGAAUGCUAGGUGUAGGGGGUAUCGACCCCUUCUGUGCCGGAGUAAACGCAAUAAGCAUUCCG